GAUCCUGGCUCAGGACGAACGCUGGCGGCGUGCCUAACACAUGCAAGUCGAACGAAAUUACGAAGAAAGCUUGCUUUAAUCGUAAUUUAGUGGCGGACGGGUGAGUAACGCGUGAGGACUUGUCGGAUACAGGGGGACAACAGAUGGAAACGUCUGCUAAUACCCCAUAAGCCUUUUGGUAAAAGGAGCAAUCCGGUAUCUGAGAGACUCGCGUUCUAUCAGCUAGUAGGUGGGGUAACGGCCCACCUAGGCCAAGACGGA
rnacentral:rRNA from 1 species